rnacentral:ribozyme from 1 species
ACAAGUUCAUAGGCUACAUCAGAAGGGCUCAGCUGACAUGCAGCCUGUCAGAUUCCAAUGAAUCUGCAAAUUCUGCU